UACGUAGGGUGCAAGCGUUAAUCGGAAUUACUGGGCGUAAAGCGUGCGCAGGCGGUCCGUUAAGACAGAUGUGAAAUCCCCGGGCUUAACCUGGGAACUGCAUUUGUGACUGGCGGACUCGAGUAUGGCAGAGGGGGGUAGAAUUCCACGUGUAGCAGUGAAAUGCGUAGAGAUGUGGAGGAACACCGAUGGCGAAGGCAGCCCCCUGGGCUAACACUGACGCUCAGGCACGAAAGCGUGGGGAGCAAACAGG
rnacentral:rRNA from 1 species